rnacentral:rRNA from 1 species
AUGCCUGUCGAGCUUGCUCACGGGCUUUCUAUCAUAUCCAUAACACCUGUGCACUUGUUGGAUGUCUAGAGACGUAAAGUCGACAGUCAUCCACUUACACUAAACAAUAAUGUAACAAAUGUAGUCUUAUUAUAACAAAAUAAAACUUUCAACAACGGAUCUCUUGGCUCUCGCAUCGAUGAAGAACGCAGCGAAAUGCGAUAAGUAAUGUGAAUUGCAGAAUUCAGUGAAUCAUCGAAUCUUUGAACGCACCUUGCGCUCCUUGGUAUUCCGAGGAGCAUGCCUGUUUGAGUGUCAUGAAAACCCUCAACCUUAGAUUGGUUAUUUGACCUUUCUUUGGCUUGGAUUUGGACGUUUGCCGAUGUCAAGUCGGCUCGUCUUAAAAGUAAUAGCUGGAUCUGUCUCGCGACAUGGUUUGACUUGGCGUAAUAAGUAUUUCGCUAAGGACAUCUUCGGAUGGCCCUGUUGCAGGACUAAAGACCGCUUUCUAAUCCAUUGAUCUUCGGAUUAAUAUUCAUAACAUCUGGCCUCAAAUCAGGUAGGACUACCCGCUGAACUUAAGCAUAUCAAUAAGCGGAGGA